UACGGGGGGGGUAAGCGUUGUUCGGAAUUACUGGGCGUAAAGGGCGUGUAGGUGGUUGCGCAAGUUGGUUGUGAAAUCUCCCGGCUCAACCGGGAAACUGCAGCCAAUACUGCGUGGCUAGAGUGGCAGAGAGGAAAGUGGAAUUCCCGGUGUAGUAGUGAAAUGCGUAGAUAUCGGGAGGAACACCAGCGGCGAAGGCGGCUCUCUGGGACGGUACUGACGCUGAGACGCGAAAGCGUGGGGAGCGAACAGG
rnacentral:rRNA from 1 species